rnacentral:misc_RNA from 1 species
GAAAACAGAAACGCGUCUUUACUCCUCUUGGCGCGCGGUGUGAAACCGAAGAAGAGCGCGUCCGUACGCCUUCCUCGCGUUUGCUCACUCCAAGACGCUCAGGCGUACGUGUUUCAUGUACCGUCGCAGCACUGGGCGUGAGUGUUUCUGUCUUUCCCUGCCUUUUUCUCCUUUUGCUCCACUUGGCUCGCCAUGCAUCGCAGUUUUGUGCGCUGCGGCUCCAUCUUCCACUCCAAAGGUGCGGCCGGUGAAUGGUUCGGCCGCACCACCUCCGCGACCACAUGGCGAGGCGCCUGCACAUCCUUUGCCUUAUGCCUGCUCGGCAUUGCCGUCAUCAACCAGUUCUGCCGCGGCAACCCCAUGGGGCGGUGUGAGUACGAGAACGAGAUCGUGAUGCCGCUGCAGCGAACCCGGGUGCCGACACCGGACACCUACGGAUUUGUCGAUGCUGAGUCGGAGGAGGGAAGGCAGAAGCCGCCGCCUAUACCUCGACGUUGAUGUGAGGGAGAAGGAGCGAAAAUAACCGUGGAGCUGCGGAUCGUGCCGGCGGAGCAAGGCGGGUGCACGGGAGAGCAGCCGUUCCUGUGCCUGGGGUGCUGCCUUCCUCCUUCUCUUAUCGCUCUCUAUUUAGGAGUUUUUGUGUCGUUUGCCCUGCAUGGUUCUCUGCGGUCACUCUCGCGUGGGUGUGCCGACGGGGCCCGUUCGUCUGUGCGUGUCUGCGAUGGAUUGGAUGUUCUCAGUCACAGAGCAUGCACAAGAAGACGGGGGCCAGGUCGUGCAGAUAUGCAAUGCAAAGGAAAAACAAGAAAAACAAAACAAAACAGCAUCAUCCUGGUGAGAAGGCGCCGCUUCUUGCCUAGUGCUCAAGGGCUUGCCGUGGUGGGGUCCUUAGCGAUGGCGAGAAGGAUGAUGGAGGCAGAAGGGAGGGGGUACAAGGGAGUGGAGGUGAUACCCGGCUGCGCUGUCUCGCUCGCUCUCUCUCCGGACUCCUCCCGUCUCCACUGCAGGCGUGCUCAUUGCAUGCUGUCUCUUUUUUUUUCUGUGGAGACCCGUCUCUGCCGGAGAUUCAUCCUUAGCAUGGGUCCGCUGCAGUCCAUCCUCCUGCGUGCCUCGUGCAUACUUCUUCCUCUGCUCCCUUUCUUUGUAUAUAUAUGUGUUGCCUUCUGCCGCACCAACAUGGCG